CAGUCAAAUCACGCUGAAAACAUUGGCUCCCGUUCGAUCACCAAAGUUAAGCUGUGUUGAGCCUGUUCAAUACUUAGAUGGGGGACGGCUUUGGAACACUAGA